rnacentral:rRNA from 1 species
GACGUAGGGUCCAAGCGUUGUCCGGAUUUACUGGGCGUAAAGGGCGCGUAGGCGGCGCAACAAGUCACUUGUGAAAUCUCCGGGCUUAACCCGGAGCGGUCAAGUGAUACUGUCGUGCUAGAGUGCGGAAGGGGCUACUGGAAUUCUCGGUGUAGCGGUGAAAUGCGUAGAUAUCGAGAGGAACACCUGCGGCGAAAGGCGGGUAGCUGGGCCGACACUGACGCUGAUGCGCGAAAGCCAGGGGAGCGAACGGG